rnacentral:rRNA from 2 species
GUGUCAGCCGCCGCGGUAAUACAGAGGGUGCAAGCGUUAAUCGGAAUUACUGGGCGUAAAGCGCACGCAGGCGGUCAAUUAAGUCGGAUGUGAAAGCCCCGAGCUUAACUUGGGAAUUGCAUCUGAAACUGGUUGGCUAGAGUCUGGUAGAGGGUGGUAGAAUUCCAUGUGUAGCGGUGAAAUGCGUAGAGAUAGGGAGGAAUACCGGUGGCGAAGGCGGCCCCCUGGACAAAGACUGACGCUCAGGUGCGAAAGCGUGGGGAGCAAACAGGAUUAGAUACCCUGGUAGUCCACGCUGUAAACGAUGUCGAUUUAGAGGUUGAGGCCUUGAAACGUGGCUGCUGGAGCUAACGCGUUAAAUAGACCGCCUGGGGAGUACGGCCGCAAGGUUAAAACUCAAAUGAAUUGACGGGG